rnacentral:rRNA from 1 species
UACGGAGGGUGCAAGCGUUGUUCGGAAUUACUGGGCGUAAAGCGCACGUAGGCGGAUGGUUAAGUCAGGGGUGAAAUCCCAGAGCUCAACUCUGGAACUGCCUUUGAUACUGGCCAUCUCGAGUCCGGAAGAGGUGAGUGGAACUCCUAGUGUAGAGGUGGAAUUCGUAGAUAUUAGGAAGAACACCGGUGGCGAAGGCGGCUCACUGGUCCGGUACUGACGCUGAGGUGCGAAAGCGUGGGGAGCAAACAGG